rnacentral:lncRNA from 1 species
UAUUGUGGAAAUAUAACUAGCAUAUGAAGGAAAGCUGAGAGAUCUAUUAUUACACAAACCUGAUAUCUACACGUCCCUAUUUGAGUCAAGCCCUGAAACCACCAUCUGAAAAUAGAUCGGAAAACGAUCCAUUCAACAGCGAAAGCCACAAUCCUUGAGAAGAAGCCAUUAAGAGGAGAUCUGAACCAGAAAAGUUAGGCAGAGCUUGUAGAAAGAGAA